AGUCAACUGCUCCAGAAAUGAGUUCCAUAUAUAUAACAGAGCCCCCUACUAAAGGAAAGGUACUAUUAAAGACCACACUGGGUGAUAUUGAUAUUGAACUGUGGUCCAAAGAGGCUCCUCUGGCCUGUCGUAACUUCA
rnacentral:lncRNA from 1 species